rnacentral:rRNA from 1 species
UGCUAUACAUGCAAGUCGAACGCACUAGUUUACUAGUGAGUGGCGAACGGGUGAGUAACACGUAGGUAACCUGCCCUUAAGACGAGGAUAACCAUUGGAAACGAUGGCUAAGACUGGAUAGGAAUAUUUGAGGCAUCUUAAAUAUUUUAAAAGACCUAGCAAUAGGUAUGCUUAAGGAGGGGCCUGCGGCGCAUUAGUUAGUUGGUGAGGUGAGAGCUCACCAAGACGAUGAUGCGUAGCCGGACUGAGAGGUUGAACGGCCACAUUGGGACUGAGAAACGGCCCAAACUCCUACGGGAGGCAGCAGUAGGGAAUUUUCGGCAAUGGAGGAAACUCUGACCGAGCAACGCCGCGUGAAUGACGAAGUACUUCGGUAUGUAAAGUUCUUUUAUCAGGGAAGAAUGGGCAGUGGAAAAACUGUUUUGACGGUACCUGAUGAAUAAGCCCCGGCUAACUAUGUGCCAGCAGCCGCGGUAAUACAUAGGGGGCAAGCGUUAUCCGGAAUUAUUGGGCGUAAAGGGUGCGUAGGCGGUUAUUUAAGUCUUUGGUGUAAGUGCAAGGCUCAACCUUGUGAUGCUAAGGAAACUGGAUAACUUGAGUGUGAUAGAGGUAAGUGGAAUUCCAUGUGUAGCGGUAAAAUGCGUAAAUAUAUGGAGGAACACCAGUGGCGAAGGCGGCUUACUGGGUCACAACUGACGCUGAGGCACGAAAGCGUGGGGAGCAAACAGGAUUAGAUACCCUGGUAGUCCACGCCGUAAACGAUGAGUACUAAGUGUUGGAGAAAUUCAGUGCUGUAGUUAACGCAAUAAGUACUCCGCCUGAGUAGUACGUGCGCAAGCAUGAAACUCAAAGGAAUUGACGGGACCCCGCACAAGCGGUGGAUCAUGUUGUUUAAUUCGAUGAUACGCGAAGAACCUUACCAGGUCUUGACAUCCCAUGCAAUACUAUAGAGAUAUAGUGGAGGUUAUCAUGGAG